CCGGCAUAGGAUGGACAUGCGUCGCAUUAGGUAGACGGCGGGGUAACGGCCCACCGUGCCGACGAUGCGUAGGGGUUCUGAGAGGAAGGCCCCCCACACUGGUACUGAGACACGGACCAGACUCCUACGGGAGGCAGCAGUGAGGAAUAUUGGUCAAUGGCCGAGAGGCUGAACCAGCCAAGUCGCGUGAGGGAAGAAUGUCCUAAGGAUUGUAAACCUCUUUUGUCGGGGAGCAAAAAGGCUCUGCGGAGUCGUAUUGAGAGUACCCGAAGAAAAAGCAUCGGCUAACUCCGUGCCAGCAGCCGCGGUAAUACGGAGGAUGCGAGCGUUAUCCGGAUUUAUUGGGUUUAAAGGGUGCGCAGGCGGCGUGUCAAGCAAGCGGUAAAAUAGCGGGGCUCAACCCCGUCGAGCCGUUUGAACUGGCGCGCUUGAGUUCAGGCGAGGUAGGCGGAAUUCGUGGUGUAGCGGUGAAAUGCAUAGAUAUCACGAAGAACUCCGAUUGCGAAGGCAGCUUACCAGUCUGCGACUGACGCUCAGGCACGAAAGUGUGGGUAUCGAACAGGAUUAGAUACCCUGGUAGUCCACACAGUAAACGAUGAGCGCUAGGUGUCCGGGUCGCAUG
rnacentral:rRNA from 1 species